rnacentral:rRNA from 1 species
GACGAACGCUGGCGGCGUGCUUAACACAUGCAAGUCGAACGGCAAGUCCCUGCUUUUGUUGUGUUCUCGAUUGGCGAACGUGUGAGUAUCACUUUUGUAACCUGCCCUUGUCUUUGUGAUAACUUCUGGUAACUGGUGCUAAUACCUUAUAGGAUCUCCUGCUGCAUGUUGUUGGUUGGAAAUUUUCGGCGGUUGGGGAUGGACUCGCGGCUUAUCAGCUUGUUGGUGGGGUAGUGUCUUACCAAGGCUUUGACGGGUAGCCGGCCUGAGAGGGUGACCGGCAACAUGGGGACUGAGAGACGGACCAGAAGGCAACGGGAGGCAGCAGUGGGGAAGAUGGCAGAAUGGGAGGAAGCAUGAUGAAGAAACGCGGAGUGCGGGAUGACGGGAUUCGGGGUGAAAAAAGAUGUAGAAGGAGAAGAAGAGGGAGUGACGGUAAUGGGUAAAGAAGCAACGGCUAACUACGUG